UAUAACAAAGAAUUUAGUAAAAUAACUUAGUUAUCAUUAAGCUAGUGUUAGGAUAAUAAAUUGUGACCAAGGUUUGGUGCAAGAUUUUAAUUCAGAACUUAUGAAAACAAGACAUUUGUACACAGAGCCAGAGGAGGUUUCAGCUGGUUUGGCAUCGAAAGGGUUAAAUUAAUCAUUUAAUUUUACUUCUAGAGUGCAAAUUUUAUGGAGCAUAAA